rnacentral:rRNA from 1 species
AGUGAACGCUGGCGGUAGGCCUAACACAUGCAAGUCGAACGGCAGCACAGUAAGAGCUUGCUCUUACGGGUGGCGAGUGGCGGACGGGUGAGGAAUACAUCGGAAUCUACUUUUUCGUGGGGGAUAACGUAGGGAAACUUACGCUAAUACCGCAUACGACCUACGGGUGAAAGCAGGGGAUCUUCGGACCUUGCGCGAGUGAAUGAGCCGAUGUCGGAUUAGCUAGUUGGCGGGGUAAAGGCCCACCAAGGCGACGAUCCGUAGCUGGUCUGAGAGGAUGAUCCGCCACACUGGAACUGAGACACGGUCCAGACUCCUACGGGAGGCAGCAGUGGGGAAUAUUGGACAAUGGGCGCAAGCCUGAUCCAGCCAUACCGCGUGGGUGAAGAGGGCCUUCGGGUUGUAAAGCCCUUUUGUUGGGAAAGAAAAGCAGCAGGUUAAUACCCCGCUGUUCUGACGGUACCCAAAGAAUAAGCACCGGCUAACUUCGUG